GCCUCUGGCUCCCGACGGCUCCAGGAAAGGGCAGCGCAGUGGGUCUCAGGGACUGGGCGGACGCUCCGUCACGAAAAGGCAGCUGGACAGCAGGGUGUUCGGACUCUGGGAGCCGGAGCCCCCUCGCGAGGAAAUUAUGGUUCAGACCAUCCAGCGACUCCCUUCCACCCUCCAAAGACCAGAGCAAUUCUCAGAAUCAUCACCCUGUGGAAAAGCAGCCCCGGUGGAAAAUAAUAAAAAGUAUAACAGUUAA